GAGGAACGCGGGCGGCGUGCCUAAUACAUGCAAGUCGAGCGAACAGAUAAGGAGCUUGCUCCUUUGACGUUAGCGGCGGACGGGUGAGUAACACGUGGAUAACCUACCUAUAAGACUGGGAUAACUUCGGGAAACCGGAGCUAAUACCGGAUAACAUAUUGAACCGCAUGGUUCAAUAGUGAAAGGCGGCUUUGCUGUCACUUAUAGAUGGAUCCGCGCCGUAUUAGCUUGUUGGUAAGGUAACGGCUUACCAAGGCAACGAUACGUAGCCGACCUGAGAGGGUGAUCGGCCACACUGGAACUGAGACACGGUCCAGACUCCUACGGGAGGCAGCAGUAGGGAAUCUUCCGCAAUGGGCGAAAGCCUGACGGAGCAACGCCGCGUGAGUGAUGAAGGUCUUCGGAUCGUAAAACUCUGUUAUCAGGGAAGAACAAAUGUGUAAGUAACUGUGCACAUCUUGACGGUACCUGAUCAGAAAGCCACGGCUAACUACGUG
rnacentral:rRNA from 1 species